UCUCCGUAGGUGAACCUGCGGAAGGAUCAUUAUUGUAUAACCGAGGUGCGAGGGCUGUCGCUGACCCGAAAGGUCGUGCACGCCCGAGUGCCCUCACACACAUCCACCUCACCCCUAUGUGCACCACCGCGUGGGUCCCCCUUUGGCUUGUUCGGAGGGGGGCUUACGUUUUCACACAAACUUUGUAUGCAGUGUAGAAUGUAUUUUUUGUUUUUGCGAUCACGCAAUCAAUACAACUUUCAACAACGGAUCUCUUGGCUCUC
rnacentral:misc_RNA from 1 species